rnacentral:rRNA from 1 species
UUAUAGAGUUUUCUAAACUCCCAACCCAUGUGAACUUACCUUUUGUUGCCUCGGCAGAAGUUAUAGGUCUUCUUAUAGCUGCUGCCGGUGGACUAUUAAACUCUUGUUAUUUUAUGUAAUCUGAGCGUCUUAUUUUAAUAAGUCAAAACUUUCAACAACGGAUCUCUUGGUUCUGGCAUCGAUGAAGAACGCAGCGAAAUGCGAUAAGUAAUGUGAAUUGCAGAAUUCAGUGAAUCAUCGAAUCUUUGAACGCACAUUGCGCCCAUUAGUAUUCUAGUGGGCAUGCCUGUUCGAGCGUCAUUUCAACCCUUAAGCCUAGCUUAGUGUUGGGAAUCUACUUCUUUCAUUAGUCGUAGUUCCUGAAAUACAACGGCGGAUUUGUGGUAUCCUCUGAGCGUAGUAAUUUUUUUCCUCGCUUUUGUUAGGUGCUAUGACUCCCAGCCGCUAAACCCCCAAUUUUUUGUGGUU